AGACGUCUACAUUAGAUACCCGCGUAGUCCCAGCCGUAAACUAUGCGCGUUAGGUGUAUCGGUGACCACGAGUUACCGAGGUGCCGAAGGGAAACCGUGAAACGUGCCGCCUGGGAAGUACGGUCGCAAGGCUGAAACUUAAGGAAUUGGCGGGGAGCACCACAACAGGUGGAGCCUGCGGUUUAAUUGGACUCAACGCCGGGAAGCUCACCGGAUAAGACAGCGGAAUGAUUGCCGGGCUGAAGACUCUGCAUGACUAGCUG
rnacentral:rRNA from 1 species